GAGGAGGCAGCAGAGAGGUCACAGAGCACAGCAGGCGGGAGAAAACCGCCUCCCGCGAGGUCCAACAGAAACCACGGAGCUCCGGACACUCGGGAUCCCGGGCCGCGGGCGCGCGGCCAGAGCGGCGGGGUGCGAGCGCGGGGGUGCGGACUCACCUCGCGCUUGGGGUGGCCGGGAGCGCGCGCCGCCUCAGUUCCGCGGCUUCCGGCCACAGAGUCCCCGCGCAAAGCGCCGCCGCGUAGCGGGAGGGGCGACCGCGGCAGGCGCUCGGGUUCUUCCUAACCCGAGCCCGCCGCGCUGGCUCCGCCGAGGACGCCAGCAGCUGCAGGCAGCGCUUCAGCUCUCGCCGCCUCGCCAUCGUUGGGGCGAGUCGUCGCCGGGUCACUCCCUUAUUAUGACCUUCGAAUCUGACAGCAGGGCCAGCGGUGGCCUCCUUCAGGCUGCCUCUCCAGCCCUUACCAAGAUGGCCGCCCCUGUGGGCCGGGGCGCCGAAGCCAUCUUGGUAAAGGAAGCGCCUGGGAGCACGCGGCCUGCCCCGGCCCGCCUCGCGACUCAAACACUCUGCAGGGACCCUCCUAAGAUCAAAUUGGUUCCCCCCGCUGUCCUAAGCCAGAGGCUUACUUUCAGAUCGCAUGAACGCAUUCCUGGACACCAGCCACAGUUGCUAAAACUAAAUGGGAUCCUGCAGACCCAUUGACGGACUGUCAUAGCCAACUCAAUCACAGUCGAGAAGCAUUUGAAUACUUACAGCCUAUGGCGCUAGGAUCCUGGUAGCGAAGAAACUAAACUCUAAUUUGAAAUGUUGUACAGUACGUAUUGAAUAUUAAUGGGAGCACGGCAUUGUUCACUGUGUGAUCGUUUACUUUUAAAAUGAUGUCACAGCCCCCUGGUACACACGGUUCUCAUCUAAAUUUGCAUCUUUUUUAACGCUAGGAUAACUAUGAAAGAGCAUACGAUUGUGAUUCUGAGUUUCUUACUGGAUUUGCUUUUUAAACUGCAGAAUGAAAUUAGUUGUUUCAAGAAGUAAAGUACAGGCAUGUCGAAGUAAAAUUCAACAAUGGGUUGUUGGGCAAAAAGAUUAUAAAAGUCCUGGGGUGUGCCAGGGUCAAAAAAAAAAAAAAAAGCUUGUCCCUGGGGUUAUCUUGGCAAAAAAGAAACCACCACCACAGGUUCUAAAUGCAGAUAAGACUGGCAGAAAAAUGCAGACCAAACUAUUCUGCAUUUUGAAAGUGAAUGUGCCUGUGUGACAUUGGAGGAAUGUAAAGAACUGUAUGUCAAGUGUGGACUUUAUCUCCUCAGGCUAGCUUAGAGUGGCUGCUGAACUUAAGGGUGAUUAAGAGCUGCUUGCACCUGGGUGGAGCUGAAACUGCAUAAGGUGAAUAAUACCUUUGUGCAACAGAAGAAAAAAAAAAAAGUAACAGCAUACAUACAAACCCAAAGGGUAAGUUGAAGUUACUACUCAAAAGUUCUUCAUAGUGUUCUUGACUAAGCAACGGAGAAGUAAUCCCGGCACUUUGGG
rnacentral:lncRNA from 1 species